UACGGGGGGGGCAAGCGUUGUUCGGAAUUAUUGGGCGUAAAGAGCUCGUAGGCGGGUUGUUGCGUCGGCUGUGAAAUCCCGAGGCUCAACCUCGGGUCUGCAGUCGAUACGAGCAAACUAGAGUGUUGCAGGGGAGACUGGAAUUCCUGGUGUAGCGGUGAAAUGCGCAGAUAUCAGGAAGAACACCCGUGGCGAAGGCGGCUCUCUGGGACGGUACUGACGCUGAGACGCGAAAGCGUGGGGAGCGAACAGG
rnacentral:rRNA from 1 species